GGCUAACGCUGGCGGCGUGUCUUAGCCAUGCAAGUCGAGCGGACUUAUGGGGUAACUUAUAAGUCAGCGGCGGACGGCGGAGUAACACGUAGCUAACCUACCCUCUGGACGGGGAUAACCUACCGAAAGGUGGGCUAAUACCCGAUGUAGUCAUCCUGUAUAGGGGUGAUGAAAGGUGGGCUUCUGUUUACAAGCUCAUGCUGGAGGAGGGGGCUGCGGCCUAUCAGGUAGUUGGUAGGGUAAUAGCCUACCAAGCCGAUGACGGGUAGCCGACCUGAGAGGGUGACCGGCCACACUGGGACUGAGACACGGCCCAGACUCCUACGGGAGGCAGCAGUGGGGAAUAUUGCGCAAUGGACGGAAGUCUGACGCAGCGACGCCGCGUGAGCGACGAAGGCCUUCGGGUCGUAAGCUCUGUUCUUGGGGACGAAUAAAAUAGACGGUACCCAACGGAGAAAGACCCCGGCGUAACUACGUGCCAGCAGCCGCGGUAAGCUACGUAGA
rnacentral:rRNA from 1 species